UUUUUUUUUUGGUGGAGACAGACUCUCGCUCUGUUGCCUAGGCUGGAGUGCAGUAGCGUGAUCUUGGCUUCGCUCACUGCAACCUCCGCCUCCCAAGUUCAAGCAAUUUUCCUGCCUUAGCCUCCCCAGUAGCUGAGAUUACAGGCAUGCAUCACCACUCCUGGCUACUUUUUUUUGUGUUUUUAGUAGAGACGGGGUUUUGUCAUGUUGGCCAGGCUGGUCUCGAACUC
rnacentral:lncRNA from 10 species